ensembl:lncRNA
GAAGCAGUCGGUAAAACAACUACUACAACAGAAGAGCCUACAAGUACAACAUUGGCACCUACUACGACAACCGAAACAGUAUCCAGAACAACUACAUUAGCUACUACAACAGAAGAGCCUUCAACCACAACAUUGGCCCCUAGCAAAACAACAGACGCAGGAGCUAAAACAACUACUACAACAGAAGAGCCUACAACUACAACAUUGGCCCCUAACAUGACAAUAGAAACAGUAGCCAGAACAACUACAGCAGCUACUACAACAGCAGAGCCUUCAACCACAACAUUGGCCCAAAGCACAACAUUGGCCCCUACCAAAAAAACUGAAACAGUAGCCAGCACAGCUACAGCUGCUAGUACAACAGCAGAGCCUUCAACCACAACAUUGGCCCCUACCACAACAACAGAAGCAGUCGGUAAAACAACUAUGACAACAGAAGAGCCUACAAGCACAACAUCGGCCCCUAACACAACAACAGAAGCAGUCGUCAAAACAACUGCUACAACAGAAGAGCCUUCAAGCACAACAUUGGUUCAAACCAAAACAACAGAAGCAGUCAGUAAAACAACUACUACAACAGAAGAGCCUACAAGUACAACAUUGGCACCUACUAAGACAACAGAAACAGUAUCCAGUACAACUACAGCAGCUACAAGAACAGCAGAGCCUUCAACCACAACAUUGGCACCAACCACAACAACAGAAGCAGUCGGUAAAACCAACUACAGCAGCUACUACAACAGCAGAGCCUUCAACCACAACAUUGGCCCCAACCACAACAACAGAAGCAGUCGGUAAAACAACUACAGCUGCUACUUCAAAAGCAGAGCCUACAAUCACAACAUUGGCCCCAACCACAAACAAAAGAAGCAGUCAGUUAAUACAACUACAGCAGCUACUACAACAGCAGAGCCUUCAACCACAACAUUGGCCCCAAACACAACAACAGAUGCAGUCAGUAGAACAACUACUACAACAGAAGAGCCCUUCAAGCACAACAUUGGUCCAAACCAAAACAAACAGAAGCAGUCUGUAAAACAACUACAAAAGAGGCUUUCGCUAAACAACUACAUUGGCCCCUACCACAACAACAGAAACAGUCACCAGAACAACUACAUCAGCUACUACAACAGCAGAGCAUACAAGCACAACAUUGGCCCCUAACACAACAAACAGAAGAUGUCAGUAAAACAACUACUACAACAAGCAGAGCAUACAACCUCAACACUGGUCCAAACCACAACAACAGAAGCAGUCGGUAAAACAACUACUACAACAGAAGAGCAAUACAACCACAACAUUGGUCCAAACCACAACAACAGAAGCAGUCGGUAAAACAACUACUACAACACAAGAGCCUACAAGUACAACAUUGGCACCUACUACGACAACCGAAACAGUAUCCAGGAACAAACUACAUUAGCUACUACAACAGAAGAGCCUUCAACCACAACAUUGGCCCCUAGCAAAACAACAGAAGCAGUCGCUAAAACAACUACUACAACAGAAGAGCCUACAACUACAACAUUGGCCCCUAACAUGACAAUAGAAACAGUAGCCAGAACAACUACAGCAGCUACUACAACAGCAGAGCAUACAACCACAACAUUGGCCCCAAACACAACAACAGAAGCAGUCGGUAAAACAACUACUACAACAGAAGAGCCUUCAACCACAACAUUGGCCCCAAACACAACAUUGGCCCCUACCAAAAAACAGAA